CCUACGGGCGGCUGCAGUGGGGAAUUUUGGACAAUGGGGGCAACCCUGAUCCAGCAAUGCCGCGUGUGUGAAGAAGGCCUUCGGGUUGUAAAGCACUUUUGUCAGGAACGAAACGCGCUGGGCUAAUAUCCCGGCGUAAUGACGGUACCUGAAGAAUAAGCACCGGCUAACUACGUGCCAGCAGCCGCGGUAAUACGUAGGGUGCGAGCGUUAAUCGGAAUUACUGGGCGUAAAGCGUGCGCAGGCGGUUGUGCAAGACAGAUGUGAAAUCCCCG
rnacentral:rRNA from 1 species